UCUGCUUUCAUUCACGGUGCUUCUAUCUCUCUUGACCGCCAGAGUCAGUCCUGGGAGCGGUGUGGGGCUCGGACAGUUGUAAGACGUGUUGUGUGGGCUGAAUUAGCUGUUGUACAAUUCCUGUCUAUCUCAUUGAAUACAGCUUUCAGCGGCCCCUCGUGCCAAGUUUGAGUCCAAUUAAACUACAAUGAAAGCCCUGAAGAUGGCUGCCUGCAGGGAAGAAUCCUAACGCGACCCGAGAUAUCGGAAAGCGUUUCUGACCACACAAAUGGAAAAGGCUCAAGAAUAGCAAAACUGACUCUACAGCAGAAAUAAGCCUUCUCCAUCCACCGAAUCUUUCAGCUGAGCCCGGAGUAAGAUCUGAAAAGAGGAAGAGUUACAAGUGGAAAUUUGGCAGUCUGGUUGGGUGAAGGUCAACAUUCGCCCAGUACAUUUUUUUGAUCAUCCCACCGUCACUAUCCUUAACUCUCAAGGCACAAGAAACGGUCACAUUAUCGAGCUGGAAGAGAAAUCAGGAACAAAAGAAAUUAUUCAUGGAGUUACAAUGCAAAGAAGUCUAUUUUAAAAAUAAACAGAACUGAGUUUUUGGAGCCUCUGAAUAAAAGAUAAGUUGACUGCACACAGAAUGUCAAAAUGGAGGGGAAGGAAGGUAUUUCUCCCCCCAACACUUUUUUUCUGUACUGAAGCACGACACAAAGAAAAAAAAAAAACACAACUAAUUAUAGUUUUAAAUGUCCAAAAC